AGUCUAGCAUGUGCGCGAGUCAUUGGGACUCAAUAAACCUAAAGGCGCAAUGAAAGUGAAAGUCUGUUUACGCGGACUUAGGGAGGAUAGGUGCGUACACUUGUGUACAACCUCGCACUCCCGGGGCGUCUCGCACUCAUUGCGAGGUGGGGCGCACCAAGAGCGUACACGCUGGGACCCGAAAGAUGGUGAACUAUGCCUGGUCAGGACGAAGUCAGGGGAAACCCUGAUGGAGGUCCGUAGCGAUUCUGACGUGCAAAUCGAUCGUCGGAACUGGGCUUAGGGGCGAAAGACUAAUCGAACCAUCUAGUAGCUGGUUCCCACCGAAGUUUCCCUCAGGAUAGCUGGCACUAGAUUAUGGAUGAGUCUCAUCCGGUAAAGCGAAUGAUUAGAGGCAUUGGGGUCGAAACGGCCUCAACCUAUUCUCAAACUUUAAAUGGGUGAGAUCUCCGGCUUGCUCGAUUUGUGAAGCCGGAGAUCGGAUCAAUUAGUGCCAAGUGGGCCACUUUUGGUAAGCAGAACUGGCGCUGUGGGAUGAACCAAACGCAGAGUUAAAGCGCCAAAAUCGACGCUUAUGGGAUACCAUGAAAGGCGUUGGUAACUUAAGACAGCAGGACGGUGGCCAUGGAAGUC
rnacentral:rRNA from 1 species